GUUUCUGUAUUGUAGUGGUUAUCACAUUUGCCUCACAUCUGAAAAGUCCCUGGUUCAAAACUGGGUGGGAACA